rnacentral:rRNA from 1 species
CUACGGGCCGCUGCAGUGGGGAAUAUUGCACAAUGGAGGAAACUCUGAUGCAGCAACGCCGCGUGGAGGAUGACACUUUUCGGAGCGUAAACUCCUUUUAUAUAGGAAGAAGAUGACGGUACUAUAUGAAUAAGCGCCGGCUAACUCCGUGCCAGCAGCCGCGGUAAUACGGAGGGCGCAAGCGUUACUCGGAAUCACUGGGCGUAAAGAGCGUGUAGGCGGAUUAAAAAGUCAGAAGUGAAAUCCUAUAGCUUAACUAUAGAACUGCUUCUGAAACUCUUAAUCUAGAAUAUGGGAGAGGUAGAUGGAAUUUCUGGUGUAGGGGUAAAAUCCGUAGAGAUCAGAAGGAAUACCGAUUGCGAAGGCGAUCUACUAGAACAUUAUUGACGCUGAGACGCGAAAGCGUGGGGAGCAAACAGGAUUAGAUACCCCUGUGUC